rnacentral:rRNA from 1 species
GAUGAACGCUGGCGGCGUGCCUAAUACAUGCAAGUCGAGCGAACAGACGAGGAGCUUGCUCCUCUGACGUUAGCGGCGGACGGGUGAGUAACACGUGGAUAACCUACCUAUAAGACUGGGAUAACUUCGGGAAACCGGAGCUAAUACCGGAUAAUAUAUUGAACCGCAUGGUUCAAUAGUGAAAGACGGUUUUGCUGUCACUUAUAGAUGGAUCCGCGCCGCAUUAGCUAGUUGGUAAGGUAACGGCUUACCAAGGCAACGAUGCGUAGCCGACCUGAGAGGGUGAUCGGCCACACUGGAACUGAGACACGGUCCAGGCCCCUACGGGAGGCAGCAGUAGGGAAUCUUCCGCAAUGGGCGAAAGCCUGACGGAGCAACGCCGCGUGAGUGAUGAAGGUCUUCGGAUCGUAAAACUCUGUUAUUAGGGAAGAACAAAUGUGUAAGUAACUAUGCACGUCUUGACGGUACCUAAUCAGAAAGCCACGGCUAACUACGUG